rnacentral:rRNA from 1 species
UCCUACGGGGGGCAGCAGUGAGGAAUAUUGGUCAAUGGCCGGAAGGCUGAACCAGCCAAGCCGCGUGAAGGACGAAGGUGCCAAGCAUUGUAAACUUCUUUUGUCAAGGGACAAAAUCAGGCUCGAGAGCCUGACCGAGGGUACUUGACGAAAAAGCAUCGGCUAACUCCGUGCCAGCAGCCGCGGUAAUACGGAGGAUGCGAGCGUUAUCCGGAUUUAUUGGGUUUAAAGGGUGCGUAGGCGGACUGUUAAGUCAGCGGUAAAAGCCCGGGGCUCAACCCAGGCGAGCCGUUGAAACUGGCUGU